CCAAUAGCGUAUAUUAACGUUGUUGCAGUUAAAAAGCUCGUAGUUGAAUUUUGGAUUCUUCCAAUUGGUCCAUCUUUUAGAUGAGUACUGGUUGUGUGGGGUCUAUCCGCCUGGUGAUACGUAAUGUCCUUUAUUGGAUGUUGCGGGUAGUCAGGACCUUUACCUUGAAAAAAUUAGAGUGUUUAAAGCAGGCUUAUGCCGGAAUACAUUAGCAUGGAAUAAUAGAAUAGGACGAAGUUGUUUUAUUUUGUUGGUUUCUAGGACAACCGUAAUGAUUAAUAGGGAUAGUUGGGGGCAUUAGUAUUCAAUUGUCAGAGGUGAAAUUCUUGGAUUUAUUGAAGACUAACUACUGCGAAAGCAUUUGCCAAGGAUGUUUUCAUUAAUCAAGAACGAAAGUUAGGGGAUCGAAGACGAUCAGAUACCGUCGUAGUCUUAACCAUAAACUAUGCCGACUAGGGAUCGGGCGAUGUUGUUUCCAUGACUCGCUCGGCACCUUAUG
rnacentral:rRNA from 1 species